rnacentral:rRNA from 1 species
UACGUAGGGUGCGAGCGUUAAUCGGAAUUACUGGGCGUAAAGCGUGCGCAGGCGGUUCGUUGUGUCGGCGGUGAAAGCCCCGGGCUUAACCCGGGAACGGCCGUUGAAACUGGCGAACUGGAGUGUGGCAGAGGGGGGUGGAAUUCCGCGUGUAGCAGUGAAAUGCGUAGAGAUGCGGAGGAACACCGAUGGCGAAGGCAGCCCCCUGGGCUAACACUGACGCUCAGGCACGAAAGCGUGGGGAGCAAACAGG